GCCUGGUUGGCUCAGUUGGUUGAGUGUCUGACUUUGGCUCAGGUCAUGAUGUCACAGUUUGUGGGCUAAGUCCUGCAUCAGGCU
rnacentral:tRNA from 1 species